AACGCGAAGAACCUUACCUGGGCUCGAAAUGUUGUGGACCGGGGUAGAAAUAUCCCUUCCCCGCAAGGGGCCGCAAUAUAGGUGCUGCAUGGCUGUCGUCAGCUCGUGUCGUGAGAUGUUGGGUUAAGUCCCGCAACGAGCGCAACCCUUAUCUUCAGUUGCUACCAUUUAGUUGAGCACUCUGACGAAACCGCCUCGGAUAACGGGGAGGAAGGUGGGGAUGACGUCAAGUCCUCAUGGCCUUUAUGUCCAGGGCUACACACGUGCUACAAUGGCCGGUACAAACCGUCGCAAACCCGCGAGGGGGAGCUAAUCGGAAAAAGCCGUCCUCAGUUCGGAUCGCAGUCUGCAACUCGACUGCGUGAAGCUGGAAUCGCUAGUAAUCGCGGAUCAGAACGCCGCGGUGAAUACGUUCCCGGGCCUUGUACACACCGGCUAC
rnacentral:rRNA from 1 species